AUUAAACGCUGGCGGCAUGCCUUACACAUGCAAGUCGAACGGCAGCACGGGGGCAACCCUGGUGGCGAGUGGCGGACGGGUGAGUAAAGCAUCGGAACGUAUCCUGGAGUGGGGGAUAACGUAGCGAAAGUUACGCUAAUACCGCAUAUUCUGUGAGCAGGAAAGCAGGGGAUCGCAAGACCUUGCGCUCUGGGAGCGGCCGAUGUCGGAUUAGCUAGUUGGUGGGGUAAAGGCCUACCAAGGCGACGAUCCGUAGCGGGUCCGAGAGGAUGAUCCGCCACACUGGGACUGAGACACGGCCCAGACUCCUACGGGAGGCAGCAGUGGGGAAUUUUGGACAAUGGGCGGAAGCCUGAUCCAGCCAUGCCGCGUGAGUGAAGAAGGCCU
rnacentral:rRNA from 1 species